ACCUCAUCAGAGUCAGAGCGCACCACCCACUUCAAAGCGCGAUACAGCUCCAAAAGAACAUCUCCUAGAACCUGCAUAGAGAAAGAACAUCAUAAUCAGGCACUGAAGCAGUAAAGGUUUGGGAAGAAGUGGUUUCCUGCUUUCUGUACUACAGCUGAAGAACAAACAAUGUCAAAGGCAAGAUCAGAAAAUGAAUCGGAAUUUGAAAUUCUUUUUGGAAACCAUGGACACCGCGUUCUAUAAACAAGAGGAAAGCGACCAUCCGGCUUUUUUAUCAGCACUCAAAGGCCUGCAUCUCUGAUGGUAUGGGGUGCAUUAGUGCCUCUGGAAUGGGCAGCUUGCACAUCUGGAAAGGCACCAUCAAUGCAGAAAGAGACAGAGUGGUCUAUAAUCACAGGAGUACGGGUUAAUUACUAUCUCCUGACUAGCUGUCUACGUGAAGCCUAGACACCAGAGACAUGAAAGCUAAAACACAACACUUCCCACUGAAAUCUGCUAAUAGCUAUGUGUCAUGUUCAACAACAGCAAGUUUAACAGUGCUGAAAAACAAUAGUAAAAGUGCUUUUACAAUCACAUGGGGAAUAUCAAAUUGGUGCUUUUGGCUGUUGGUACAGCUGGAUCCUGUGUCCUGGACAGAAUUUUUUUUUAAAUAAUUCUCUGUACAUUCUAGUUAGCCACACUGUAAUCAAUUUCAUUUAGUUCUGCAAAAUGUUUAGCUAAAAGGAUACCUACAUAACAUCAUGCUUUGGAAGGACUUAAAAAAUUAUACAACAGCAUUAAUCUAGACAAAUUAAACUAAUGUAUAAAGCAAUCUGAAACAGAAUGAAACAGCAGGAAGGAUUGAAAACAGACUGAUUGUAAGUAGCUACCACUGCUUUAAACCUCUAGAUCAAACCUCUCAGUUGCAGGAUAUUCUCUAUGUUAUUCUUGUAUGAAAGCCUGAUGAUUUAGUUGGCAGUUUGAGAUUCAUAAUCUCUCCUGAAGCAGUAAUGCAGGUUAUCCCACCAUUGCUUUAUGGGGUUAAACGUGUCUGCAGUUUGCUGAAAGUUUAGCUGUCGCUGGGACACAGAGCAGUUUUACACUCUAGCUUUUGGCACUGCUUACACACGACAUGUCUGCAGUGUGCCAGUGGCCCUCUAUGUCACUUCUUGUGACAUUUGAGGCACAGGAAACUGACCAUGUGUUGCUUUCUUUCUGCAACAACCAACCUUUGAAACAAUGUCUGCUUUAAGCAACCAGAUUAUGCACUGUUCUACAGAGACUCAGUUAGUUUAGCCUUUUUUAGAUAGACAAAGAAGAUGUAAUGUCUCACUGCUUCAUAUUGAUUCUACAUUUCUCUUUCAAGGAAAUUUUGCAUUAAUGUAUAGCCUUUCUAACUAUUUUUGGUCUCUGACUCUUUUGUUUUAUUCUAUCUAAAUUACGUAAGCCUUCUGGUCAUUAAUGAGGACCACAACCAUGCAUGUUUUAUCUGAUGUUUGCACAAUAUUUUACUUGUAGUCAGUCUAAUUUACAUUCCAGCACUGUUGAAUUCUCAAAUCUGAUUGGUCAGAAUGUGUUGAUUGAUUUCUUAUAACAGCAACUCUCACUGCAGUUCCACUGACAGUUUUAUAUUGAUCCACUUGUUCUAAUACUAUACCGUUUCUAUAGUAACAGCUUGUUCACAGGGACUUCUAUGGAGGAAACGCCACAUAAUCUUUAAGUCUGAUUAUGAAUGGAUUAAAAUGUGUUUAUAUGUAACAAAGAAAAAUGGAUAAUCAAAGUUUUCUGGAACUACAUGUUUAUGUAACAUGUAUACAAGGAGUCUCGAGUGUGCUUUGUGCCCAUUCACAAAAGAAUGACUUAGUUCUGCCAGAUUAGAAAGCUGGGUGACUGGCCAAAGCAAGCCACUUCAUGUGAUGUCACUUUCAGUGUAAUCACACUGAGUGCCAGUGUUAACUCGACUAAACCAUUUCUCAUCGCUGGGUAAACUUCUGUCUUCUUCAGUCUCUCUAUACUCUACUUCAGUCCAAGCAAGAUGGCUUUUGAGUUUCUUCCAUUCUAGGGAGAACUGAUCAGUUCAUCGAUUUAAAUGAUUAAAAAUGGUUCACCCAAAAUCUUCACCUUUACUUAUAAAUAAUCACGGAUGCUGUAUCAAAUUUAAUAUGUACUAUUUACAUGAGCCUACUACAUGUAAUCAGAAAUAAAAUAAUGCCACCAACUGAAUGCUGUAGUAGUUGUAGCACAGUGGUGGCCUACAGAGUGGACUGGACCUUGGCCUUAUGCAAAUGAGGAGAAUUAGGGAAAACACACAUUGCUUCACAGAAGGGUGGGCUUGAUGAGAGACCAGUGGUUUUCAAACCAUCUGCCUCAUCCACACUUCUAAAGCUGCAUGCUGAAUUCCUCCCUUUAAACCAUGUGUUAGACACAGCUGUGCAGUGUAUUAGCACACUAAAGAACAGUUUACACCGAAAGGGUUUCUAAAGUGGACCUGAUUCACCCUGAUGCUCUUCUUCUUCUUGGAGCCUCUACACUUCCUGCUGUUAUGGAUGGUCUCACAUGGAUUUGUUCUUCCCCAAAACAAUUUAUGCCCAGGUCUCAUCCUUUCUUCAGUAGAUAAUCUCAUCUGGAUACUGUAGACCUGUGCCUAAGAACUGCUGCUGCUGCAAUCUGAAAGACAGUCCCAUGCUCAUCCCAGGACUCCUAGUCAUAAUAUGCUCACACUGACAAUCCUUUCAACACACAUACUACUAUAUGAUGCUAUAAUAUACAGUUGUAGAAGAAUAAUGAUUUAUAAUCCCACUAUCCAUUGUCAUUCAGAAGGGAAUGGGUUCCCUUUGUGUCUGGGUCCUUUCAAGGUUUCUGCCUCAUGUCGUCUCAAGAUGUUUGUACUCAACCACUGUCACUUCUGGUUUGCUCUUUAGGGAUGUAAAUCUACAUCUGGAUUUCUGUACAGCUGCUUUAUGGCAAUGUCUAUUGGUAAAAAAGCUAUACAAAUAAAACUGAAUUGAAUUAAAGGAGUCAUUUCAUGAUUUUUAAUGUUUUCCUUUUGUUUGGGUGUGAAAUGUAUGUGUUUGUGCAUGUAUAAGAUCUGCAAAGUCAUAAAGCUCAUAGUGUACCCCAAAGGGAUUUAUUUUAUCUAACAGAAAACACUGCUCCAGACCUGCCCAUAACGUGUUGUUCAAAGU